CCGAGUGGUAGGGAUGAUUAUUGGGCUUAAAGCGUCCGUAGCCGGCUUAGCAAGUCUCCUGUUAAAUUCAGCGACCUAAUCGUUGACCCGCGGGAGAUACUACUAGGCUAGGAGGCGGGAGAGGUCGACGGUACUUCUGGGGUAGGGGUGAAAUCCUAUAAUCCCGGGAGGACCACCAGUGGCGAAGGCUGUCGGC
rnacentral:rRNA from 1 species